UACAGAGGGUGCAAGCGUUGUUCGGAAUUAUUGGGCGUAAAGGGCGCGUAGGCGGUGCGGUAAGUCUGCGGUGAAAUCUCCCGGCUCAACUGGGAGGCUGCCGUGGAAACUGCCGUGCUUGAGUGUGGGAGAGGUGAGUGGAAUUCCUGGUGUAGCGGUGAAAUGCGCAGAUAUCAGGAAGAACACCAAUGGCGAAAGCAGCUCUCUGGGACGGUACUGACGCUGAGACGCGAAAGCGUGGGGAGCGAACAGG
rnacentral:rRNA from 1 species